GCAAGUUUUUCUUCAAAUUUCGUCGACGGGAACAGUGAAAACAUGAAAACUUUAAUCGUUAUUUCCCUUAAGAUUUUGGGCGCUUGUUGCUUUUUACUACUUGCGCUUAGAUAGGAUAGACAGAAAUACGCGUCUGUGUUUGUUUUUCAAAGAACUUCUGGACUCCUCCUGCGUCUGUUUUUGGUUUGUCGAAUUUGCUGACGUUUCGCCAAUCAUCCUGUUGGCAUCUCCAUAGUUUAACUGAAACUGGCUAGCAUUCUAAUCGACCAGAAAUAUAGUGCAUUUACUGGUUUGACGUUUCAAGUAUUUUAAAGUACUUUAACCGCAGACCUUCGUAGGACCGUGGGCAAACGAAGGCGAGAAAUAGUGAUUUUCAUUUGGAUUUUUUCAAAUAUCCCGAACAACGUAUGUGAGAGACGAAAACCGUAAAUACAAAAAUUGUGGCCCUUGAUACGGCCUAUAACACUGUUUGAACGGAUUAGCUAUUGUUUGGUCUUUUAGAUUUUUGUCCAUAACUGAAACACUUUGUAUAUAAUCGGAAAAAUGCAUGAAAUAAAAGUUGUAGCGCCGGCUCUCCCACAUAUCACGGACGUAAAAUUUUUGCGAUCGGAUCAAUGGAUUUGGAGGCAAAGCUGUUUGGCAUUCAAAAUAACCACAAAAAAAAUACUUCGGUGCGGGUCCAGACUUCUACUUCUCUCCUAAGUCUGAAGUUGGUAGCUGCAAAUUUGGAGUACUUAUCAUUGUUGUAUUGUAUUAUUAUUAUUAUUAUUAUUGGAGUAUUAUUAUAUUGAACGGAAUAUCGCGAACACCCUGUACAAUACUUAAAAACCAUAAAUACAAAAGUGUAAGCUAUUAUGAGCUAUAUCGUCAUGUAAAAGAAACUGAAAUUAUUGCCAAUUUUCAAUAAUAGGGGGACCCAUUUUUCAGUUAUUUUGAAUUUGCAGCGCACCCUGUAUAUUUUUGAAAAAUUGUCAAGAAUAAAAGUUUAAUUUUUUCGGUCUUGCAAACGG